rnacentral:rRNA from 1 species
GUAGGUGGCAAGCGUUGUCCGGAAUUAUUGGGCGUAAAGCGCGCGCAGGCGGUCCUUUAAGUCUGAUGUGAAAGCCCACGGCUCAACCGUGGAGGGUCAUUGGAAACUGGGGGACUUGAGUACAGAAGAGGAAAGCGGAAUUCCAAGUGUAGCGGUGAAAUGCGUAGAGAUUUGGAGGAACACCAGUGGCGAAGGCGGCUUUCUGGUCUGUAACUGACGCUGAGGCGCGAAAGCGUGGGGAGCAAACAGGGAUUAGAUACCCUGGUAGUCCACGCCGUAAACGAUGAGUGCUAAGUGUUAGGGGGUUUCCCGCCCCUUAGUGCUGCACCUAACGCAUUAAGCACUCCGCCUGGGGAGUACGGCCGCAAGGCUG